CGUUGAUGUAUUACCCUCCGCCAUGAUGAAGUAAACAACAACAGCUGCUGUAAGAUGAGUAACACCUAAACCCUUGAGAAAUUAACAACUGGAUCAUGGAAACACUGCUGUUACAGGCCAGGGCAGCUGCACACACAGCAGAGCAGUCCAGGACAGCAGCAUGUACAGAGCAGAGCCGUCAAGGGGAGCGGCACGCACAGAGCAGAGCCGUCCAGGACAGCGGCAUGCACAGAGCAGAGCCGUCCAGGGGAGCGGCACACAGAGCAGAGCCGUCCAGGGGAGCGGCACACAGAGCAGAGCCGUCCAGGGGAGCGGCACACAGAGCAGAGCCGUCCAGGGGAGCGGCACACAGAGCAGAGCAGUCCAGGGCAGCAGCCAGCAAGCACAGGGCAGCAGCAAGCAAGUACAGGGUAGUGGCCAGUAAGCACAGUCUCGGGCAGCAUGGCACUCCAGUGUUCAGAACAACAUUUCUGUACAAAAUAAAAUGUAAAAUUAA